UACAGAGGUCCCAAGCGUUGUUCGGAUUCACUGGGCGUAAAGGGUGCGUAGGCGGUCGGGUAAGUCUGACGUGAAAUCCCGCAGCUCAACUGCGGAACUGCGUCGGAUACUAUUCGGCUUGAGGAAUGGAGGGGAGACUGGAAUUCCUGGUGUAGCGGUGAAAUGCGCAGAUAUCAGGAGGAACACCGGUGGCGAAGGCGGGUCUCUGGGACGGUACUGACGCUGAGACGCGAAAGCGUGGGGAGCGAACAGG
rnacentral:rRNA from 1 species